rnacentral:rRNA from 1 species
UACGGGGGGGGCAAGCGUUGUUCGGAAUUACUGGGCGUAAAGAGCUCGUAGGCGGCUUGUCACGUCGGGUGUGAAAGCCCGGGGCUUAACCCCGGGUCUGCAUUCGAUACGGGCUAGCUAGAGUGUGGUAGGGGAGAUCGGAAUUCCUGGUGUAGCGGUGGAAAUGCGCAGGAUAUCAGGAGGAACACCGGUGGCGAAGGCGGCAUCCUGGACGACAUUGACGCUGAAUACCGAAAGCUAGGGGAGCAAACGGG